UUUUUUUGCCUUUUUUUCUGGUUUAUUUUUUUGGGCUGUUGCUGUUUUUUUACUGGGCCUGUGCUGCUGCUGGGCUUGCUGCUGAUUGGGUCGGGUCACGCGGGUCGGGUCGGAUUAACCCGACUGUUUUAAUUUUUUUUCCUUCUUUCUCUUUUUUCUUUCCCUUUCUUCUUUCUUUCUUCUUUCCUUUUUUUUUCUUCUUUCUUUCUUCCCUUUUUCUUUUUUUUCUUUCUUCUCCAUUCACCCCCUUUCCUCUGCAUUCGUCGACGAUGCCUUGCUGCCCGACAGUGUGGCGGCCAAGGCGGUGCUCCUUCAUCUCCCCUUUCUCUCAUUUUCUUUUUUUCCUCUUUGUUUUCUUUUUUUUUGUUUUUGUUUUUUACUUUUUGGUUACUUUGCUAGGUGUUGGGACGGUGGCGUUGUGGCGGUAGGCAUGAUGGUGCGGGCACGACGGCGGCAGUGGGCUGCUAUUUUUGGUGUUUUUUUGCUCAAAAUUGUUGUUUUUUUUCUUUUUUUCUCUUGCUUGGCUCCAAAUUUUGGGGGUUUAAAACCCCUUUUAAAUUGUUGAUUUUUCUUCUCCUUUUUUGCAGGUUGUAGGUGGCUAGGGAGGGGUAGGCCGGCCGCCGCCGUUGCAGGCGCAAGUUGUGCUAGUUACUGUCAGAAGGACUAAAACGUAAACGUAGUAAAAGUUUUAGGGCUAAAACUUAAUUUCAAGAAAGUUU
rnacentral:lncRNA from 1 species